GGCCAAUCAGACGCCCCAGGAGGGCUCCGGCGGAAGUGAGGCACUUCCGGCGGAAGUGAGGCGCCUCCACCGCAUCUCUGGAGCCUGGAGCGGCCCAGGUGAUGUGGUCCCGGAGCUGAUGGCAGAUUCCUGGAGGAGCGAGUUGGUGCUGGGAAGUCCUUUCAUUGAAGUGGAGGCCAUGGUUCCCAAAGCGCACAGCAAGCUCUUGGAGGAAGGCCCAGGAGGGACCUUAUUUAUUGCUGUUGACACCACAUUCCCUGGGAGUCCACCUUGCACAGCAAGGAUUCAAAGACCAGCGCCUCAGAUUUCUUUGUUCCACCAGAGAGUCCUCCACACCAGCGAGCUACCUCUGGAAGGCUCUCACACAGAAGGAAGCGUGACUUUCUUGAAUUUUGCCUUCAUGGUCAUUAGUGCAUCUUCUAUUGGGAAAUGUCUAUUCAAGUCUUGCUCAUUUUAAAACUGGGUUGUUCAUCUCUUUACUGUUGGUUGAUACCAUUUCUAAGCCUACCUCCAAGCAGAGUCUGUCUUGAAGGAGUUACCUGCCAGGACCACCUGCUGGGAAUAAGCUUAAGGAAAAGUCAAAACAAAGACAAGAAUUCCGCAAACAAUGCCGGUCAGUGGAACCUAAUAUGCAAGAGAGGAUUCAGGUGGUUCCAGGAGCUGAGAGAGCCUGGGACCAGCUGUGGACAGGACAACCUGAAUGGAGCUCUCCUCUUCCAGAGAUUGGGGUCCUCUGUUAGAGUCCUGCAAAAGGAGUUAGAGACCCAGCUUACAGGCACUUGUAAAGGACAAAUUCAUGUGGAACAGAAAGCUUAUGAGCUUUGGAGUCUGAAAAACUCAGGAUGA
rnacentral:lncRNA from 1 species